CUGAACAUCUUCCUCGCAAUUCGAUAGAUCCUCCUACACUCAAAUGCCUUAAAUGUUUGAGUUUCCAUAUUUGGACAGGGAAAGAAAUUGGAAUGUCAAUGGGAUAAAAACUCAGGUCAAUGGUUUGUAGAUUCCAAAGGUUAAGUAUUGAAUCUGGAACAAAGUUAACAUUCCGUGAGUUUAUUUUCAAGUACCUUAAGUGGUUGAAGUUCCCUAAAUUGUAAGGGAUGUUUUUGCACCUGUUAGGUCCAAAAUCUAACACU
rnacentral:sRNA from 1 species